UACGUAGGGCGCAAGCGUUAUCCGGAAUUAUUGGGCGUAAAGAGCUCGUAGGCGGUUUGUCGCGUCUGCCGUGAAAGUCCGGGGCUCAACUCCGGAUCUGCGGUGGGUACGGGCAGACUAGAGUGAUGUAGGGGAGACUGGAAUUCCUGGUGUAGCGGUGGAAUGCGCAGAUAUCAGGAGGAACACCGGUGGCGAAGGCGGGUCUCUGGGCAGUAACUCACGCUGAGGAGCGAAAGCGUGGGGAGCGAACAGG
rnacentral:rRNA from 1 species